AGGUAUAUAUUGAUCUCUGGCAGAACUGAGACUAAUUUGCCUUCUUCAACUAAGUCAUGUUAAUUGUUGAUUUUCAGAAUCGAUUAAGAGGCAGGGACAUAGCAUUGCAGCUGCAAGGAUGGAUGUAAAGCUCAAUGUUGCUGGUAACUGGUUGGAUCUCUGAAAAAAUGGGUGGUGUCAGUCAAGGAACUGAACACCAAGAAGAUUCUUGUACGAGAUGUGGAGACAGUUAAUAGCUCAGACCAUACAUUUGAUGUGCUGCGUUGUGGUACAAGAUGUGGAGACAGUCACUAGCUCAGACCAUACAACCCCCGUUCUUGACACCAUCCCAAUUUUCAGGGACGUGUUCUCUUCCCUUUUUACUUUUCGUUCCAUUGUUUGAGUGGGUUUCUGUGCAUAGAUUGAGGACAAUGCAUCAUGCAUGUGCUUGUUGUG